rnacentral:rRNA from 1 species
AAAUUGAAGAGUUUGAUCAUGGCUCAGAUUGAACGCUGGCGGCAGGCCUAACACAUGCAAGUCGAACGGUAACAGAAAUCAGCUUGCUGAUUUGCUGACGAGUGGCGGACGGGUGAGUAAUGUCUGGGAAACUGCCUGAUGGAGGGGGAUAACUACUGGAAACGGUAGCUAAUACCGCAUAACGUCGCAAGACCAAAGAGGGGGACCUUCGGGCCUCUUGCCAUCGGAUGUGCCCAGAUGGGAUUAGCUAGUAGGUGGGGUAACGGCUCACCUAGGCGACGAUCCCUAGCUGGUCUGAGAGGAUGACCAGCCACACUGGAAC